rnacentral:rRNA from 1 species
AGUGAACGCUGGCGGUAGGCCUAACACAUGCAAGUCGAACGGCAGCACAGUAAGAGCUUGCUCUUACGGGUGGCGAGUGGCGGACGGGUGAGGAAUACAUCGGAAUCUACUUUUUCGUGGGGGAUAACGUAGGGAAACUUACGCUAACACCGCAUACGACCUACGGGUGAAAGCAGGGGAUCUUCGGACCUUGCGCGAUUGAAUGAGCCGAUGUCGGAUUAGCUAGUUGGCGGGGUAAAGGCCCACCAAGGCGACGAUCCGUAGCUGGUCUGAGAGGAUGAUCAGCCACACUGGCACUGAGACACGGUCCAGACUCCUACGGGAGGCAGCAGUGGGGAAUAUUGGACAAUGGGCGCAAGCCUGAUCCAGCCAUACCGCGUGGGUGAAGAAGGCCUUCGGGUUGUAAAGCCCUUUUGUUGGGAAAGAAAAGCAGCAGGUUAAUACCCCGCUGUUCUGACGGUACCCAAAGAAUAAGCACCGGCUAACUUCGUG